rnacentral:rRNA from 1 species
UGUUUGAUGUUCUAACGUGGACCCGUGAUCCGGGUUGCGGACAGUGUCUGGUGGGUAGUUUGACUGGGGCGGUCUCCUCCUAAAGAGUAACGGAGGAGCACGAAGGUUGGCUAAUCCUGGUCGGACAUCAGGAGGUUAGUGCAAUGGCAUAAGCCAGCUUGACUGCGAGCGUGACGGCGCGAGCAGGUGCGAAAGCAGGUCAUAGUGAUCCGGUGGUUCUGAAUGGAAGGGCCAUCGCUCAACGGAUAAAAGGUACUCCGGGGAUAACAGGCUGAUACCGCCCAAGAGUUCAUAUCGACGGCGGUGUUUGGCACCUCGAUGUCGGCUCAUCACAUCCUGGGGCUGAAGUAGGUCCCAAGGGUAUGGCUGUUCGCCAUUUAAAGUGGUACGCGAGCUGGGUUUAGAACGUCGUGAGACAGUUCGGUCCCUAUCUGCCGUGGGCGCUGGAGAACUGAGGGGGGCUGCUCCUAGUACGAGAGGACCGGAGUGGACGCAUCACUGGUGUUCGGGUUGUCAUGCCAAUGGCACUGCCCGGUAGCUAAAUGCGGAAGAGAUAAGUGCUGAAAGCAUCUAAGCACGAAACUUGCCCCGAGAUGAGUUCUCCCUGAGACUUAGAGUCUCCUGAAGGAACGUUGAAGACGACGACGUUGAUAGGCCGGGUGUGUAAGCGC